rnacentral:rRNA from 1 species
UACGUAGGGUGCAAGCGUUAAUCGGAAUUACUGGGCGUAAAGCGUGCGCAGGCGGUUAUGUAAGACAGAUGUGAAAUGCCCGGGCUUAACCUGGGAACUGCAUUUGUGACUGCAUGGCUAGAGUUUGGCAGAGGGGGGUAGAAUUCCACGUGUAGCAGUGAAAUGCGUAGAUAUGUGGAGGAACACCGAUGGCGAAGGCAAUCCCCUGGGCCUGCACUGACGCUCAUGCACGAAAGCGUGGGGAGCAAACAGG